rnacentral:rRNA from 1 species
GUCGUAACAAGGUUUCCGUAGGUGAACCUGCGGAAGGAUCAAUUAUACGUUACAAAAACUUAAACCUGAACUUGUAGUGGGCUGGAGCAAUCCGGCCUGAGGUGAGCGUAUUCGUGCGCUUCAUCACUGCUAACCCAGUAUAUCAACCUUUGUAUAUUCAGAACUAGUUGUGUUUACUUCACAACUCUGGGCGAUGGAUGUCUCGGCUCAGGCAACGAUGAAGGACGCCGCUAAAUGCGAUAAGCACUGUGACUGGCAGAAUUCCGCGAAUCAAUAGAAUGUUGAACGCAUACUGCACUUCUUGGUUAUUCCAGGAAGUAAGUCUGGUUCAGGGCUGCUAGCAUCUUAUGUUGCCAAUGAUGCAAAUUUCUAAUUUGUUAGUUGGUAAACGUUCUUGUGCGCUAACGACGUGACCUCUGGUGUACCGCCGGCGCAUGAAAUUCAAGAGCUUAUGCUUUGUACGAUCUCGCAUUGUGCUUUAACCUGUUUAAUUGCGCACUGUAUUUGUAUAAGCAUUGCCCUUAAAAGCUUUUUCUUUCUGGCAUGAACUCAGACUAGGCUACCGGCUGAAUUUAAGCAUAUAAGUAAGCUGAGGAAAAGAAAAUGAAUAUGAUUCCCUUAGUAAGGGCGACUGAACCGGGAAUAGCUCAAAAUGUAAAUCCGUGGCAAUAGCCAUGGAAUUGUAGUCUUGAGUGCUUCUUCUAGUUUCGGCUCCCGCGUAAGUUUUUUUGGAAAAAAACGUCAAAGAGGGUGAGAGCCCCGUGCACGUGGCGAGUUAGCGAAACAUCCAGAGUGGCAUCUUAGAGUCGCGUACUUUGGAAGUGGUGCGCUAAAUGGGAGGUAAUUUUCUUCUAAAGCUAAAUAUUGGCCUGAGACCGAUAGCAAACAAGUACCGUGAGGGAAAGAUGAAAAGGACUUUGGAAAGAGAGUUAAAAGUGCCUGAAAUCGCUCAGAGGUAAGCGAAUGGAACCAGUUUCUUUAGGCUUGAGAUUGCGGUAGGUUAAGGGGAAUUUCAGUUCCGUAAGGGCUGUUGAUCUGACCUGGACACCUGCAGUGUUUCUCUUGUCUAGGCGUCAUCGUGCAUUAGGUGCUCGAAGAUAAUCGCUAGGUGAUCGGUCCUCGCUGAUGUGUUGCUCGUUCCCUGGUUGAGAUUCUUGCCCUGCUGUAAUUGCGCGUAUGGAUUUCACUGCGGCAUAAUCUUGGUGAAGAUUGCGCGGAGUACUCGUACUGCUCGUUUUUAAUCCUUGAUGAGUUGCAACAUUUCCAUUCCCGAACGAUGGCUAAAUGGUUUUAUUCUACCCGUCUUGAAACACGGACCAAGGAGUCGACUUCUAACGCGAGUGUGCGGGUGGCAAACCUGUACGCGGAAUGAAAGUAAUGGUUACGAAUUUUUAUGCUGUAACGGCCGACUUCGAUCUAUUGAGAGAGGUUUGAGUUUUAGCGUUAAGGGUCGGACCCGAAAGAUGGUGAACUAUGCGUGA